UCAGCCGCCGCGGUAAUACCAGCUCCUCGAGUGGUCGGGACGAUUAUUGGGCCUAAAGCACCCGUAGCCGGUUCCGUAAGUCCUCUGUUAAAUCCAGUCGCUCAACGGCUGGCCUGCAGAGGAUACUGUGGGACUAGGAGGCGGGAGAGGCGGACGGUACUUCGCGUGUAGGGGUAAAAUCCUUUGAUCCGCGGAAGACCACCAGUGGCGAAGGCGGUCCGCCAGAACGCGCUCGACGGUGAGGGGUGAAAGCUGGGGGAGCGAACCGGAUUAGAUACCCGGGUAGUCCCAGCCGUAAACGAUGCGAGCUAGAUGAUUCGAUUGCAGUUCGCGAUCGAAGUGUCGCAGGGAAGCCGUUAAGCUCGCCGCCUGGGGAGCACGGUCGC
rnacentral:rRNA from 1 species